CAGACACUGUGUGAGAGAGACUGACUGACACUGAGAGACAGACACUGUGUGAGAGAGACUGACACUGAGUGUGCCAUAUACAGGGGACCACACUGACUGACACUGAGAGUGCCAUAUACGGGGGACCACACUGACUGACACUGAGAGAGAGACAGAGAGACUUACACUGUGUGAGAGAGAGACUGACACUGUCUGAGAGAGAGAGACUGACUGACACUGAGAGUGCCAUAUACGGGGGACCACACUGACUGACACUGAGAGUGCCAAAUACGGGGGACCACACUGACUGACACUGAGAGUGCCAUAUACAGGGGACCAGACUGACACACUGAGAGAGAGAGACUGAUUGACACUGUGUGAGAGACACUGUGUGAGAGAGAGACUGGGGGGAUAACAGACACUGUGUGAGAGAGAGAGACUGGGGGAUAACAGACACUGUGAGAGAGAGAGAGACUGGGGGAUAACAGACACUGUGAGAGAGAGAGAGACUGUGUGAGAGAGAGAGACUGGGGGGAUAACAGACACUGUGAGAGAGACAGACACUGUGUGAGAGAGAGAGACUGGGGGGAUAACAGACACUAUGUGUGAGAGAGACUGGGGGGAUAAGACACUGUGUGUAAGAGACUGUGGGGGGAUAACAGACACUGUGUGUGAGAGAGACUGGGGGGAUAACAGACACUGUGUGAGAGAGACUGGGGGUAAUAACAGUUUGAGAGAGAUGGAGGAUAACAGACACUGAGAGAGAGAGACUGGGGGGAUAACAGACACUGUGUGUGUGAGAGAGAGACUGGGGGGAUAACAGACACUGUGUGUGAGAGAGAGAGAGACAGACACUGUGUGAGAGAGAGACUGUGUAAGACAGAGACUGGGGGGAUAACAGGCACUGUGAGAGAGAGACGGGGGGAAUAACAGACACUGUGAGAGACUGGGGGGAUAACAGACACUGUGUGAGAGAGACUGGGGGUAAUAACAGUUUGAGAGAGAUGGAGGAUAACAGACACUGAGAGAGAGAGACUGGGGAUAACAGACACUGUGAGAAAGAGAUUGGGGGGGAUGGCCUGGGACACUGUGUGAGACUGGGGACAACAGACACUGUGUGAGAGACUGGGGGGAUAGCAGACACUGUGAGACUGGGGGAUAACAGACACCGCAGAGACUGGGGGGGGAGGUCAGACACCGCAGAGAGACUGGGGGGAUAAGACACUGUGUGUAAGAGACUGUGGGGGGAUAACAGACACUGUGUGUGAGAGAGACUGGGGGGAUAACAGACACUGUGUGAGAGAGAGAGACUGGGGGGAUAACAGAUACUUUGUGGGAGAGAGACUGGGGGAUAACAGACACUUUGUGAGAGAGAGACUGGGGGAUAAGACACUGAGAGAGACUGGGGGGGAUAAUACACUGUGUGAGAGAGAGACUGCGGAUAACUGACUGUGUGUGAGAGAGACUGGGGGGGAUAACUGACUGUGAGAGAGACUAGGGGAUAACAGACACUGUGUGAUAGAGAGACUGGAGGGAGAUAACAGACACUGUGUGAGAG